rnacentral:rRNA from 1 species
AGCCCAGAGUCUGAAUCAGCAUGUGUGUUAGUGGAACGGUCUGGAAAGUCCGACGGUACAGGGUGAUAGUCCCGUACACAAAAAUGCAUGUGCUGUGAACUCGAUGAGUAGGGCGGGACACGUGGUAUCCUGUCUGAAUAUGGGGGGACCAUCCUCCAAGGCUAAAUACUCCUGACUGACCGAUAGUGAACCAGUACCGUGAGGGAAAGGCGAAAAGAACCCCGGCGAGGGGAGUGAAAAAGAACCUGAAACCGUGUACGUACAAGCAGUGGGAGCCCCACCACUAAGCCAGUGGUGAACUCCACAUACGCAUCCUUUGCUGAAGGUGCGGUUAACGGAGCGAAAGCGACGUUCAACCUCAAAAGAAGCAGAGGGGGCUUAGUGGUGGGGUGACUGCGUACCUUUUGUAUAAUGGGUCAGCGACUUAUAUUCUGUAGCAAGGUUAACCG